CCAACCUUAGCUUAGUGGGUAAAGCAUAGUAGUGUAUUUGGAGUUUUUCUUGGCUGAAAUCCUUAGGUCGUUGGUUCAAAUCCAGCAGGUCGGA
rnacentral:tRNA from 1 species